UAGCGUAUAUUUAAGUUGUUGCAGUUAAAAAGCUCGUAGUUGGAUUUUGGUUAAGAGGGCGCGGUCGGCCGUUUGGUCUGUACUGCGUUGUCUUGACUUCCUGAUGAGGACAUGCUCUUGGUUAACGCUGAGACAUGGAGUCAUCGUGGUUACUUUGAAAAAAUUAGAGUGUUCAAAGCGGGCUUACGCUUGAAUAUAUUAGCAUGGAAUAACACUAUAGGACUCCUGUCCUAUCUCGUUGGUCUCGGGAUGGGAGUAAUGAUUAAGAGGAACAGUUGGGGGCAUUCGUAUUUCAUUGUCAGAGGUGAAAUUCUUGGAUUUAUGAAAGACGAACUUCUGCGAAAGCAUUUGCCAAGGAUGUUUUCAUUAAUCAAGAACGAAAGUUGGGGGCUCGAAGAUGAUUAGAUACCAUCCUAGUCUCAACCAUAAACGAUGCCGACUAGGGAUUGGUGGAUGUUAAUUGAUGACUUCACCAGCACCUUAUGAGAAAUCAAAGUUUUUGGGUUCCGGGGGGAGUAUGGUCGCAAGGCUGAAACUUAAAGGAAUUGAC
rnacentral:rRNA from 1 species